GAUGGAAAGCAGUCUGUAGGGCUCUCCAGCUGCUUUCCUAUUCUGAGCCCCGCCCAGAGUGGUGAUGCUGCGCUGGGGAACCGCCUGCCAGCAGGGGGCGCUGUGCCGUGCCAGUUCCACCUAGGGAGGAAACAUGGCGGAUGCAAGUGACAUCGAAGCGGCCGUAUCACCGGAUAACCUAAGCCCAGCAUGGAUGAUUAAUGAUGGCUUCCCCAUAGUUGUACCAGCAGAGAUGCUACACUCCCUGAGGCACCCUUCCACCCCUUAUAUACCCUAGCAGCACCCAAGCCGACGAGCCAAGUGCAAUUACCGCAGAAUUACAUCUAGCUGGAGAGGGAGAGAAUCAGCUGACAGCCCAGUGACCACUGCACCCAAUUCUUUGAAGGAAUGUCAAUAGUCAACAGGUCAAUGUUUCUCAAGUCAUAACAAUAGUAACAGCUGCUCUCAUGAAGAUGACAGCUGUGAUGCUCAGUGGCCAGCACCCCUUUCUGAUUUAAUUAUGCUUUGGAAUGUGCUUGAAAAAAGUGUGUGUGUAUGUUUGUGUGUGUGUGUUCAAAUCACAGAAUAAAACCUACAGCGUUUCUACCUUUGGCUUAGCUAGAAUUACAAACAUCAUUCCAACUUUGUGCCUUGUUAAACUGAAUUUUGAAC
rnacentral:lncRNA from 1 species